AACGCUAGCUACAGGCUUAACACAUGCAAGUCGAGGGGCAGCACAGUGUAGCAAUACAUGGGUGGCGACCGGCGCACGGGUGCGUAACGCGUAUCCAACCUUCCCGAUACUCUUGGAUAGCCUUCCGAAAGGGAGAUUAAUACAAGAUGGUGUUUCACUUCCGCAUGUUAUUGAAACUAAAGAUUUAUCGGUAUCGGAUGGGGAUGCGUGACAUUAGAUAGUAGGCGGGGUAACGGCCCACCUAGUCUACGAUGUCUAGGGGUUCUGAGAGGAAGGUCCCCCACACUGGAACUGAGACACGGUCCAGACUCCUACGGGAGGCAGCAGUGAGGAAUAUUGGUCAAUGGUCGGAAGACUGAACCAGCCAAGUAGCGUGAAGGAUGAAGGUUCUAUGGAUUGUAAACUUCUUUUAUACGGGAAUAAAACCUCCCACGUGUGAGAGCUUGUAUGUACCGUAUGAAUAAGCAUCGGCUAACUCCGUGCCAGCAGCCGCGGUAAUACGGAGGAUGCGAGCGUUAUCCGGAUUUAUUGGGUUUAAAGGGAGCGUAGACGGGAUGUUAAGUCAGUUGUGAAAGGCUGCGGCUCAACCGCAGCACUGCAGUUGAUACUGGCGUCCUUGAGUGCGGUUGAGGUAUGUGGAAUUCGUGGUGUAGCGGUGAAAUGCUUAGAUAUCACGAAGAACUCCGAUUG
rnacentral:rRNA from 1 species